ensembl:lncRNA
GACCCUACAGGUUGCCCGAACACAAGAAAGAAGUGGUUCGGAGAGAAUUGGUCGACGAGCUCCUGGACCGGCUAGGCACUGCACGUUUCUUCACGACACUGGAUUUAACCAAGGGCUACAGGCAGAUUCCUCUGUCGCCAGAGUCCAAGGAGAAAACGGCAUUCUCCACCCCGUACGGUUUGUACCAUUUUACCACACUUCCCUUCGGGUUGUUUGGGGCCCACGUUUCAGUGCCUCAUGGAUCGGGUGCUGCGUCCGCACGCUGCAUAUGCCGCCGCCUACCUCGACGAAGUCAUUGUCCACAGCACCACCUGGGAGGAGCAUGUGCGGCAGGUGGGCGCAGUGCUGGAGCGGGCGGGGCUCACCGCCAACCCGGGGAAGUGCAGAGUUGGACGGGUGGAGGUACGGUAUUUGGGGUACCACUUGGGGGGCGGGCAGGUGCGCCCUCAGGUGGACAAGACUGCAGCCAUCGCGGCCUGCCCGCGGCCCAAGACAAAAAAAGAGGUGAGGCGGUUCUUGGGGCUGGCGGGGUAUUACAGGCAGUUCAUCCCCGGCUUCGCGGACCUCACCAGCCCCUUGACCGACCUCACCCUCACCCAGAUCCGGUCCAGUGGUCGGAGCAGUGCCAGCAGGCGUUUGAGAAGUAGCGGAGAGCGGGUCUGGAAGGUCGACGGCGAGAGAGCAAGACGCCCGGAGAGCUCGCAGAUUCUGCAUAAAGA